GUCCACGCCGUAAACGAUGAGAACUAGAUGUUAGGGAGCUUAGACUUCUUAGUAUCGCAGCAAACGCGUUAAGUUCUCCGCCUGGGGAGUACGGCCGCAAGGUUAAAACUCAAAGGAAUUGACGGGGGCCCGCACAAGCGGUGGAGCAUGUGGUUUAAUUCGAUGCAACGCGAAGAACCUUACCUACUUUUGAAUCCACGGAAUCUUGCAGAAAUGUGAGAGUGCCUUCGGGAACCGUGAGACAGGUGCUGCAUGGCUGUCGU
rnacentral:rRNA from 1 species